rnacentral:rRNA from 1 species
GUGGGGAAUAUUGGACAAUGGGGGGAACCCUGAUCCAGCCAUGCCGCGUGUGUGAAGAAGGCCUUUUGGUUGUAAAGCACUUUAAGUGGGGAGGAGGCUUACCUGGUUAAUACCUGGGCUAAGUGGACGUUACCCACAGAAUAAGCACCGGCUAACUCUGUGCCAGCAGCCGCGGUAAUACAGAGGGUGCGAGCGUUAAUCGGAUUUACUGGGCGUAAAGCGCGCGUAGGUGGUUAAUUAAGUCAAAUGUGAAAUCCCCGAGCUUAACUUGGGAAUUGCAUUCGAUACUGGUUAGCUAGAGUAUGGGAGAGGAUGGUAGAAUUCCAGGUGUAGCGGUGAAAUGCGUAGAGAUCUGGAAGAAUACCGAUGGCGAAGGCAGCCAUCUGGCCUAAUACUGACACUGAGGUGCGAAAGCAUGGGGAGCAAACAGGAUUAGAAACCCGGGUAGUCC